AAACAUACCUGCGAGGGGAGAAGCCAGCUACCCAGGAAGGUGGCUUUCCCAGGGUGAGGCUUACUCUGUUGUACUUCGGAUGUGCUGAGCCCUGUGACUUCCCCAAAUGCGGGAAACUCGACUGCAUAACUUGUGGUAGUGCGGGACCAUGUUCGUACUUUCCCCUA
ensembl:snRNA U1 U1 spliceosomal RNA